rnacentral:rRNA from 1 species
UGGCUAACUCCUACGGGAGGCAGCAGUGGGGAAUUUUGGACAAUGGGCGCAAGCCUGAUCCAGCAAUGCCGCGUGCAGGAAGAAGGCCUUCGGGUUGUAAACUGCUUUUGUCAGGGAAGAAAUCUUCUGGGUUAAUACCUCGGGAGGAUGACGGUACCUGAAGAAUAAGCACCGGCUAACUACGUGCCAGCAGCCGCGGUAAUACGUAGGGUGCGAGCGUUAAUCGGAAUUACUGGGCGUAAAGCGUGCGCAGGCGGCUUUGCAAGACAGAUGUGAAAUCCCCGGGCUCAACCUGGGAACUGCAUUUGUGACUGCAAGGCUAGAGUACGGCAGAGGGGGAUGGAAUUCCGCGUGUAGCAGUGAAAUGCGUAGAUAUGCGGAGGAACACCGAUGGCGAAGGCAAUCCCCUGGGCCUGUACUGACGCUCAUGCACGAAAGCGUGGGGAGCAAACAGGAUUAGAUACCCGAGUAGUCCAGCUGG